AUUGAACGCUGGCGGCAUGCCUUACACAUGCAAGUCGAACGGCAGCAUGAUCUAGCUUGCUAGAUUGAUGUCGAGUGGCGAACGGGUGAGUAAUACAUCUGAACGUGUCCUGUAGUGGGGGAUAACUAGUCGAAAGAUUAGCUAAUACCCCAUACGACCUGAGGGUGAAAGUGGGGGACCGCAAGGCCUCAUGCUAUAGUAGCUGCCGAUGUCUGAUUAGCUAGUUGGGGAGGUAAAGGCUCACCAAGGCGACGAUCAGUAGCUGGUCUGAGAGGACGAUCAGCCACACUGGGACUGAGACACGGCCCAGACUCCUACGGGAGGCAGCAGUGGGGAAUUUUGGACAAUGGGCGAAAGCCUGAUCCAGCAAUGCCGCGUGUGUGAAGAAGGCCUUCGGGUUGUAAAGCACUUUUGUCCGGAAAGAAAAGGAUCUGGUUAAUACCUGGGGUUGCUGACGGUACCGGAAGAAUAAGGACCGGCUAACUACGUG
rnacentral:rRNA from 1 species